rnacentral:lncRNA from 1 species
GGCGCGAGCGGCGACGAGGAUGGUUCACCGAGACGGCGUCGGCGAGCGAAGAUGCGGCGGUGUCCGAAGUUUCAACGACGAGCAAUUCCGGCGGCGUGGCGGCACGAUAGCGAGGGGGAACAGACGGGAAAGAAGCGCGGCGGUGGGGGCUUUAUAGGGACGCGGGCUGCGCACUUAGGGAAGGUCGGGAAUGGCAGGCGCGAGGAUUGCGGCAACGCGGGGAUCUUGCGCGUGACCGGCGGCGCUUUCCUUCAGGGAAGAUGCAGCUGACAGGUGGACCCCGCCUGUCAGCGACUGCGGGCGCGCGCGCGCGGACCGGGCGGUCUGGGCCAGUCGGGCCAUUUUGGCCGGGCCGGGCCGGUUUACCCUUUUUUUUUUCUUUUAGGCCUUUUCUUUUUCUGUUUUUCUCAUUUCUUUGAUAUCUUUUGUGUUUGAACUCCAAAUUGGUCCAAAUAAAUUUCAGAAAAUUUGUAAAAUCAUAUUCGACCAUGAUACAACUUUUGGGAGUAGUUUCUCUUCAAAAUAAAAUAUAUAAAAAAUACAUUUGCUCUAUAAAUGCCUUUAGGGCCAUAUAUCUAUUUAAAUAAAAUACUUUUUCAACUCUCAAUAAUUAUCCAAAAAUUAUGGGAUAGCUUAUAUAUGCAUUAAACCCCUUUUA